rnacentral:rRNA from 1 species
GACGAACGCUGGCGGCGUGCUUAACACAUGCAAGUCGAACGGAAAGGCCCUGCUUUUGUGGGGUGCUCGAGUGGCGAACGGGUGAGUAACACGUGAGUAACCUGCCCUUGACUUUGGGAUAACUUCAGGAAACUGGGGCUAAUACCGGAUAGGAGCUCCUGCUGCAUGGUGGGGGUUGGAAAGUUUCGUCGGUUGGGGAUGGACUCGCGGCUUAUCAGCUUGUUGGUGGGGUAGUGGCUUACCAAGGCUUUGACGGGUAGCCGGCCUGAGAGGGUGACCGGACACAGUGGGACUGAGAGACGGCACAGACACGGAAGGGAGGAAGGAGUGGGGAAUAAUGCACAAUGGGCGGAAGACGGAGGAAGCAACGCCGCGGGCGGGAGGACGGCCUUCGGGUUGUAAACCGCUGUAGCCUGUGACGAAGCGUGAGUGACGGUAAUGGGUAAAGAAGCACCGGCUAACUACGUG